rnacentral:tRNA from 1 species
AAGGGUUUAGGCUAAAUUUAAACCAAGGGCCUUCAAAGCCCUAAAUAGAGGUGAGAGUCCUCUAACCCUUG